UACGAAGGGGGCUAGCGUUGUUCGGAAUCACUGGGCGUAAAGCGCACGUAGGCGGAUCUUUAAGUCAGGGGUGAAAUCCCGAGGCUCAACCUCGGAACUGCCUUUGAUACUGGGGAUCUCGAGUCCGGGAGAGGUGAGUGGAACUGCGAGUGUAGAGGUGAAAUUCGUAGAUAUUCGCAAGAACACCAGUGGCGAAGGCGGCUCACUGGCCCGGUACUGACGCUGAGGCACGAAAGCGUGGGGAGCAAACAGGG
rnacentral:rRNA from 1 species